rnacentral:rRNA from 1 species
ACACGACUACAUUAGAUACCCGGGUAGUCCUAGCCGUAAACGAUACUCGCUAGGUGUCGGCCACGGUGCGACCGUUGUCGGUGCCGUAGGGAAGCCGUGAAGCGAGCCACCUGGGAAGUACGGCCGCAAGGCUGAAACUUAAAGGAAUUGGCGGGGGAGCACCACAACGGGUGGAGCUUGCGGUUUAAUUGGAUUCAACGCCGGAAAUCUUACCGGGACCGACAGCAACAUGAAGGCCAGGCUGAAGACUUUUGCCGGAUUAGCUG